AUUGAACGCUGGCGGCAUGCCUUACACAUGCAAGUCGAACGGCAGCGGGGGAGAAGCUUGCUUUUCCUGCCGGCGAGUGGCGAACGGGUGAGUAAUACAUCGGAACGUGCCCUGUAGUGGGGGAUAACUAGUCGAAAGAUUAGCUAAUACCGCAUACGACCUGAGGGUGAAAGUGGGGGACCGCAAGGCCUCAUGCUAUAGGAGCGGCCGAGGUUUGAUUAGCUAGUUGGUGGGGUAAAGGCCUACCAAGGCGACGAUCAGUAGCUGGUCUGAGAGGACGAUAAGCCAAGCUGGGACUGAGACACGGCCCGGACUCCUACGGGAGUCAUCAGUGGGAAAUUUUGGACAAGGGGCGAAAGCCUGAUCCAGCAAUGCCGCGUGUGUGAAGAAGGCAUUCGGGUUGUAAAGCACUUUUGUCCGGAAAGAAAUGGCUCUGGUUAAUACCUGGGGUCGAUGACGGUACCGGAAGAAUAAGGACCGGCUAACUACGUGCCAGCCGCCACUGUAA
rnacentral:rRNA from 1 species